CGCGGCCGUGCGGUGUCACGUGAGCGGUGCGCGGUCCUGCGGGGACGCGGGACGACGACGGUGUAGUUUCCAGAAGGAAAGUCACUCGCCUUGCGAAACAUGCGCACAGAGCAGGCUCAGCGACCGCCUGUGAGCAGGAAACGAAGUUAUCAUGUGGCAUAUGUCAUGAAAUUUGGAAAAGUCAUACUGGGCUGACAAGAUGGCUAAGCAGAGCCGCUGUGACUACCUGUAAAAAAUUGUCCACCUCAGGCUUCUUGGCUGACAAUGCUCCUUCAUAGAAGGAUCCAGUACACGCAGAGAUUCCAGGACCCUCACUGGAGCUCCCAGUCCCUCCUCUUGCACCUCCCAACCCGCUGGAUUAAUUCUAUGUUCUUGUAAGUUUCUACGAUGUAUAUGUGAGGAAGGUAGGUUGAAAGGGCCACUUCGCCUACACAGCUACGACUCCGUAUAGGUGAGAAGUUUCAGUGAUUUUGCUGCUGGAAAUGACCCCUCACCCUGCUCUGUCAGUAAUCCCAGGACGCUCACUUGUUGCCCAAGGAGGACUUUGGUGGAUUCUUACUGAAGUUUUCCAUUGUUUCUUUGUGUCUCCCCGAGAAAAGAGGCUCUACAACAGUUUCUCAAAACCCGAUAACAUCUUCGUGAUCAAAGAGAAGACCAAAACAUGUAAGAGUGUCUGAGUCCUGGACGCCACACUGGGCCAGGGGUACAGACGAACCACUUCACUUCUCUAGAGUUGACUUCCUCAUCUGAAAAGUGAAGAGAGUAUCGAAGGCAAAAUAGCAGCAAAUUCAAAGAUUGACUUUUAUGUGCAAUUCUAGACUUGGGAGACAUCUUGUUUUAUGAAUGUGUUCUGGUAAGUUAAGCGAAAGGGGUUGAUUUUGUAGAUGAAAAUACUGACUGACCCAUGGUUGUGUCACAGAGGCGUGCAUAAGCUGCAUGAUUGCCUGGCUCCUUCCCCAGGAUGAAAAGAAGGUAGAAUGGCUGAGCAAAGCACAAACAGAACAAAAAGACGCAUCAUUUCCAAGUCAUUCUCCUAGUAAAGGCUAAAGCCGAGAAGACUUCCUUACUAUGCCCCAUGGUACCCAAAGUACAGGAUUGAACAAAACAAACCUGAUAAAUUAGACUUUACCAAAAUUAAAAACUUUUAGUGCUUCCAAGGACUCUAUUGACAAAGGGAAAAAAAUCAACCCAUGGAAUGAAAGAAAAUAUUCACAAAGCAAGUAUCAGAUGUGGGAGUCCAGAAUAUAUAAACAGUGCUGGAAACUUGGCAACUGAAAGACUACCCAGGUUUUUAAAAUAAACGCAGGACUUGAGUCAACACUUGUCAGAGAAGAAAUGCAAAUGGCCACUAAAAAUAUGUUUGGGAGAGGACCCAAAGCUGAGAGGAGCUGGGGGGGAGGCUUGGAUCUGAGAGGGUUUGUGGGUAGGAGUAGGGAUGAAUAUGAGCAAAAUAUCAUGUUGGGCAUCUGAUGUAGCACAAAUUCUAGUUAGUCUUAAUAAUAAAAAGUUGGAGUAAACUAUUAGUGGAUGAAAGCUGAAGGAUCAGAGAAUCAGAGCGGCCAGCCACUCUUACUUCCACCAGUGCUUAGACCAAAGGGGCGAUCCUGUCUUCAGACUGCAUGCUCCUCAGAUUGCCUUUAGCUCCUAUCUCCUCCCACCUUAUAUUCCUCUCUCCACCCAGUCAUAUCACUCCAGUCUCCUCCUCCCUAGUGCUAGGAUCAAAGGCUUGUGACUGAAAGACCCUACAGACCCCCUCCUCAAAACCCACAGCAGCGAGCCUGCUCUCGUAAGAACAUCCCAUGUGCUUGAGAGAGCAGUAUGAGAUAGAAAGACUGCAAGGCAGGAUAUCAAUAAGAUAGGACAUCAACAAAGCAGGUUGACUGCAAAACAGGAUAUCUAUAAGAUAGGAACAGGAUGACUUUUGCUGACACCCAUGCUGAGAGAGGAAACCAUUCAUGCCCCGGCCUCAUCCUGAUAACCACGCUUUUGCUUCUGUAAACUUGCUCUUUGCUCUUCCCUAUAAAAAACCCGCCCUCCAGUAGACAGGCAAGCAAGUCCUCCGAAAGACUUGCCGCCCCCAGGUACCUGUGUUUACCCAAUAAACCUCUUGCGAUUUGCAUCCGUAUGGUCUUGGCCUGUUCCUUGGCAGCGGGGAGGUCUCCUCCUGAGAGAAAGUCCUCUUCGAGGGUCUUUCAGUGAUCCCAAGUGCUGUGAUCACCUUUAUGUGAGCUCGGCUUCUUUUUUCAGACAGAUUCAAUCUCAUGUAGCCCAGGGUAGCCUUGAACUCACAGAGAUCUGUUUGCCUCUGUCUCUCCAGUGUUGGGAUUAAAAGUGUGUGCCACCACUGCCUGACCUCUAUGACUAACUAGUGGCUUAGUUCUGCAUUCUGACCUUCAGGCAAGCUUUAUUUGUUAUAGAAUAAACAAAACACCACCACAAUUUUAACUAAGCAAAGAUGUGUUACACUUGUUUACGUUGCAGAAUUUAACUCUGUGAGGGUGUGUUACAUUUGUUUCUGCUGCCUUUAUUAAUGAGCAAAGGUGUGUUACAUUUGUUUGUGCUGCCUUUAUUAAUGAUGCAAAGAUGUGUUACACUUGUUUACGUUGCAGAAUUUAACUUUGUGAGGGUGUGUUACAUGUGUUUGUGCUGCCUUUAUUAAUGACGCAAAGGUGUGUUACAUGUGUUUGUGCUGCAUUUGUUUAACUGUGUAAAGCUGUGCUGCAUUUCUUUCCUCUUGCCUGCCUAAGGCACCUGAUGGUCUAAUAAAAAGAUGAACAGCCAAUACCUAGGCAGGAGAGGAAUAGGUGGGCCUGGCAGGCAGAGAAAAUAAGUAGGAGAAGAAAUCUAUGCUCAAGAGGAAAGAAGGAAAGAAUGAGGGAGAAAGAGAGGGACACACCCAGGGACAGAAGCCAGGCAGCCACCAGCUAGCCAUACAGCCAGCAGGAAAGUAAGAUAUAAAGAAAGCAAGACAAAAAGACCCAAGGCAAAACAUAGAUAAGGAGAAACAGAUUAAAAUAAGAUCUAAGCUAAGGUUGGACAUCCAAAACUAAUAAUACGUGUCUGUGUCAUGAUUUGGGAGCUGAUUGGUGACCUAAAGAAAAAAGCUUGCUACAUUCAACAUCAUUUUUUAUUAAAGAAAACAAAAAAAUCAGAACCACAGUGGGAUAUCACAUCAUAGUCACAGGAUAAAUAUGAAAAUAAUUUUUAAAACAGAAUAAAGAAACAAAUGUAAGUCAGGAUGUGGAGAAAUUGAAGCCUUCAUACAUUGCUAGUGAAGAUAUAAAAUAGUCAAAAAGUUAAACAGAGAGAUAUCAUGUUAUCAUAUUGCCUACAUCCCUAUUCCGGUUGUUUGUGUGUA